GCAGUCUAGCGUACGCUUCUCAGGCGCGAGGUUCUCCUCUAUGUGUGCAAAGAACGAAGCGGACACACAGUUCACUCGUUAUCAAAUAUAAGCGAGGAAUCCAGAUCUAAUGGAAAUAAGUUUAACACAUGAUUCUACUAGUUACAGAAUGUCGAACGUGACUCAUCACCAUCAUCCUCUUAUUGCCCUUCAAUCCCUGUAAAGAAACGUGAAGAAUUGAGUGAGGAAGAUGCGCAACAUCAAGCUAUGAGUAGUCAAUCUGAUCAAAUUUAAGAAGACGAUGAUCUUAUGGUGAUGUUGGAACAUUCGACGAAUUUCACUCAGUCUGGUAUAUCCCUUGAUCAACAUCAAUCCAAACCUGUCGUGGAGCCGAUUCCGACAAAACCAAUACCGUAACAAAAACGACUAAUAAUUAUAUUACUGCUGCUCUUCGCAUUUCGUGGAAAUUCCCUGAAUCAAAUCAUGCGAAAAUCGCUUCUUGCCGUGUUUUUAUGUUGAUUGAAAAUAAGAACCGUUCUGUCAAUAACGAACAAA